GGUUAUAGAGUUUAACUUUGAUCUGUGGGGGAUUUGAAACAUCAUUAUAUAUUAGAACGAUAAUAGUCAUGUGAAACAUUCAUCGCGUCUGCAAGCCGAAUAGAGAAAAUGAGAGUCGAGGAGUAUAAAUCAUAACCAAUUGAUUAAAAUCUAUUGAGAAGAAAGAGAUAGCAUGCAUUGUGUUGGAGUUGAGGUUGAGGGUCGCGAUGAUCCAAGAGAGGCCCUCGACGAUUCUCUGAGAUGGUGGUGCAUCGGAAUAUGUGGCAUCGACGUAGCCGACUAUGGAAAUAAAUUCGAAAUUUUCUUGACGUUAUAGUUGAAUUUCUCCAAGGAAGAAAAAUAGGGGAUUAUGUAAGGAAUGAAGAAGAAAGAAGAGAGGGAUUUCUCUUGAAUGGAUUAAGCACAAGUAAGAGAUUUAAUAG
rnacentral:lncRNA from 1 species